GCAGAUGUGGCCGAGUGGUUAAGGCGACCGACUCGAAAUCAGUUUCCAUCUUGGAGCGUAGGUUCGAAUCCUACCAUCUGCG
rnacentral:tRNA from 1 species